AUGGCAGUGGAAGGAAGUGACAGAGAGAAGGGAAAGAAAGUUGAGGAUGUAGAUGAUCUACUAGCGAGACUUGACUUGCAUGAAGAUGAUGGAGAUGACUUCGUGUGGGAAGAUGAUCCGGAGGUCCCAAAGAUCCAAGCAAAGUGGCUAGCUAUUGCUAAGGUCACUACUAAGGGGUUUAGUCCGUCGGCCCUUUACGCGGAUAUGAGGUCUGCGUGGAAUCCGGCAAAAGUUGUGCGUUGGAGGAUGAUUAAGAAUAAUUUGUUUACAGUACAGUUUGGAUGCCUCAGAGAUUGGAACAUGGCAAUGAUUAAUGGACUGUGGCUUUUCAGGAAUCAAGCGGUGAUCUUGAAGGAGUACGAUGGAUUUACGAAUCCCAAAUCAAUCAGUCUGGACAGGGUUGAAGUAUGGGCAAGAAUCUUGAAAUUGCCGGACAACUAUCUUCAUGAAGCUAUGAUAAAAGGAAUGUGCAAAAAGAUAGGAGAAAUCCUGGAGGUGCAGAUACAAUUACCGGCGGGUUAUGUCGGCAAGUUUGUAAGGAUAAAGGUGAACCUUAAUGUGCAUAAGAGGCCGGAGCGUUUUGUCUCAAUUACCAAGGGGGGCAAGAAAGAUUGGUAUCAAGUCCAUUAUGAGAAGAUGCCGAUCUACUGCAACUACUGUGGAUAA
rnacentral:rRNA from 1 species